rnacentral:rRNA from 1 species
UACGUAGGGGGCUAGCGUUGUCCGGAAUCAUUGGGCGUAAAGAGCGCGUAGGCGGCCAGAUAAGUCCGGUGUAAAAGUCACAGGCUCAACCUGUGAAUGCCGCUGGAAACUGUCUGGCUUGAGUCCGGGAGGGGCGAGUGGAAUUCCUGGUGUAGCGGUGAAAUGCGCAGAUAUCAGGAGGAACACCAAUGGCGAAGGCAGCUCGCUAGGACGGUACUGACGCUGAGACGCGAAAGCGUGGGGAGCGAACAGG